rnacentral:rRNA from 1 species
UACGUAGGGACCGAGCGUUGUCCGGAUUCAUUGGGCGUAAAGAGCUCGUAGGCGGCUGUUCAAGUCGAACGUGAAAACUCGGAGCUCAACUCCGAGCCUGCGUUCGAUACUGGACGGCUAGAGUCUGGUAGGGGGAUCUGGAAUUCCUGGUGUAGCGGUGGAAUGCGCAGAUAUCGCGAGGAACACCAGAGGCGAAGGCGGCUACCUGGACAAUUGCUGACACUCAGGCACGAAAGCGUGGGGAGCAAAAGGG